rnacentral:rRNA from 1 species
GACGAACGCUGGCGGCGUGCUUAACACAUGCAAGUCGAACGGAAAGGCCCUGCUUUUGUGGGGUGCUCGAGUGGCGAACGGGUGAGUAACACGUGAGUAACCUGCCCUUGACUUUGGGAUAACUUCAGGAAACUGGGGCUAAUACCGGAUAGGAGCUCCUGCUGCAUGGUGGGGGUUGGAAAGUUUCGGCGGUUGGGGAUGGACUCGCAGCUUAUCAGCUUGUUGGUGGGGUAGUUGCUUACCAAGGCUUUGACGGGUAGCCGGCCUGAGAGGGUGACCGGCCACAAUGGGACUGAGAUACGGACCAGACUGCUACGGGAGGCAGCAGUGGGGAAUAUUGCACAAUGGGCGGAAGCCUGAGGCAGCAACGUCGCGUGCGGGAUGACGGCCUUCGGGUUGUAAACCGCUUUCGCCUGUGACGAAGCGUGAGUGACGGUAAUGGGUAAAGAAGCACCGGCUAACUACGUG